rnacentral:rRNA from 1 species
UACGGAGGAGGCAAGCGUUAUCCGGAAUUAUUGGGCGUAAAGCGUCCGUAGGUGGUUAUACAAGUCCAUUGUUAAAGCGUGGAGCUUAACUCCAUAUAGGCAGUGGAAACUGUGUGACUGGAGUGCGACAGGGGCAAGGGGAAUUCCUAGUGUAGCGGUGAAAUGCGUAGAGAUUAGGAAGAACACCGGUGGCGAAAGCGCCUUGCUGGGUCUGCACUGACACUGAUGGACGAAAGCCAGGGGAGCGAAAGGG